AUAGCUUUAGGGCUAGCCUCAAGGUGAGAGAUACGGAGGUAGAGCACUGAAUGUCCUAGGGGGUAUUGCACCUACCGAAGACUAUCAAACUCCGAAUGCCGUCAUCUUAUACUUGGGAGUCAGACUGUGGGUGAUAAGAUUCAUAGUCGAAAGGGCAACAGCCCAGAUCGUCAGCUAAGGUCCCUAAAUGUAAGUUAAGUGGUAAAGGAUGUGGGAUUGCACAGACAACCAGGAUGUUGGCUUAGAAGCAGCCACUCAUUCAAAGAGUGCGUAAUAGCUCACUGGUCGAGUGAUCCUGCGCCGACGAUUUCCGGGGCUAAAACUUACUACCGAAGCUACGGCAUCAGUAAUGAUGGGUAGGGGAGCUUCCCAUACGGGUUGAAGCAUGACCGUAAGGACAUGUGGACAGUAUGGGAGUGAGAAUGUUGGCAUGAGUAGCGAGAUGUGGGUGAGAAUCCCUCAGGCCGUCAACCCAAGGUUUCCAGGGUUAGGCUCGGCCGCCCUGGGUUCGUCGGGUCCGAAGCUAAGGCCGACAGGCGGAGGUGAUGGGCGACAGGUUGA
rnacentral:rRNA from 1 species